rnacentral:rRNA from 1 species
ACACAUGCAAGUCGAACGGAACUUCUUUAAAGGAUUUCUUCGGAAUGAAUUUGAUUAAGUUUAGUGGCGGACGGGUGAGUAACGCGUGAGUAACCUGCCUCUAAGAGGGGAAUAACAUUCUGAAAAGAAUGCUAAUACCGCAUAACAUAUAUUUAUCGCAUGGUAGAUAUAUCAAAGAUUUAUCGCUUAGAGAUGGACUCGCGUCCGAUUAGUUAGUUGGUGAGGUAACGGCUCACCAAGACCGCGAUCGGUAGCCGGACUGAGAGGUUGAACGGCCACAUUGGGACUGAGACACGGCCCAGACUCCUACGGGAGGCAGCAGUGGGGGAUAUUGCGCAAUGGGGGAAACCCUGACGCAGCAACGCCGCGUGAAGGAUGAAGGUCUUCGGAUUGUAAACUUCUUUUAUUAAGGACGAAGAAAGUGACGGUACUUAAUGAAUAAGCUCCGGCUAACUACGUGCCAGCAGCCGCGGUAAUACGUAGGGAGCAAGCGUUGUCCGGAUUUACUGGGUGUAAAGGGUGCGUAGGCGGCUUUGCAAGUCAGAUGUGAAAUCUAUGGGCUCAACCCAUAGCCUGCAUUUGAAACUGCAGAGCUUGAGUGAAGUAGAGGCAGGCGGAAUUCCCCGUGUAGCGGUGAAAUGCGUAGAGAUGGGGAGGAACACCAGUGGCGAAGGCGGCCUGCUGGGCUUUAACUGACGCUGAGGCACGAAAGCGUGGGUAGCAAACAGGAUUAGAUACCCUGGUAGUCCACGCUGUAAACGAUGAUUACUAGGUGUGGGGGGUCUGACCCCUUCCGUGCCGGAGUUAACACAAUAAGUAAUCCACCUGGGGAGUACGGCCGCA